CAACCAGAUCGACAGAUGCCCAGCAACAAGACCAUCGGUGGAGGGGACAACUCCUUCAACAACUUCUUUAGUGAAACCGGGGCUGGGAAGCAUGUGCUCGGGGCUGUGUUUGUGUAUCUGGAGCCCACGGGGAUUGAUGAAGUUCGGAUGGGCACGUACCACCUGCUCUUCCAUCCAGAGCACCUCAUCACCAGCAAGGAAGGCACUGCCAAUAACUAUGCCUGAGGUCACUACACCAUUGGAAAGGAGCUCAUCGACCUGGUACUGGACCAAAUUCGGAAGCUUGCUGAGCAGUGCACGGCACUCCAAGGCUUCCUGGUCUUCCACAGCUUCGGAGGGGGAACUGGCUCGGGCUUGACGUCUCUCCUGAUGGAGCGGCUCUCGGUUGACUAUGGCAAGAAGUCCAAGCUGGAGUUCUCCAUCUACCCCACGCCCCAGGUGUCCACGGCCGUGGUGGAGCCCUACAACUCCAUCCUGACCACCCACACCACCCUGGAGCACUCGGACUGUGCCUUCAUGGUGGACAACGAGGCCAUCUACGACAUCUGCCGCCGCAACCUGGACAUCGAGCGCCCCACCUACACCAACCUCAACCGGCUCAUCAGCCAGAUCGUGUCCUCCAUCACGGCCUCCCUGCGCUUCGAUGGGGCCCUCAACGUGGACCUGACGGAGUUCCAGACCAACCUGGUGCCCUAUCCCCGCAUCCACUUCCCCCUGGCCACCUACGCGCCGGUCAUCUCUGCGGAGAAGGCCUACCACGAGCAGCUGUCGGUGGCAGAGAUCACCAACGCCUGCUUCGAGCCUGCCAACCAGAUGGUGAAGUGUGACCCCCGCCACGGCAAGUACAUGGCCUGCUGCCUGCUGUACCGGGGCGACGUGGUGCCCAAAGACGUCAACGCCGCCAUCGCCGCCAUCAAGACCAAGUGCAGUAUUCAGUUCGUGGACUGGUGCCCCACGGACUUCAAGCUCGGGAUCAACUACCAGCCCCCCACGGUGGUGCCCGGGGGCGACCUGGCCAAGGUGCAGCGCGCCGUGUGCAUGCUGAGCAACACAACCGCCAUCACUGAGGCUGGGCCCGCCUGGACCACAAGUUCGACCUGAUGUAUGCCAAGAGGGCCUUUGUGCACUGGUACGUGGGUGAGGGCAUGGAGGAGGGGGAGUUCUCGGAGGCCCGGGAGGAUAAGGGUGCCCUGGAGAAGGAUUAG